CGGAGCUGCCACAACCCAUCUUCCCACAACUCGGAACUUGGAAAAAGGAACCCAGGACACGACUUUGCUUUUCUUUUGGACCUAGUUGCAACUUUUAAAAGCCUUUCCACUGCACAGUGAAAGAAAACCACAAACUCCUUGUUUAAUAAGUGGGAUCAUGUGCUUUUAACAAGAGGAAAAGGUCAAUCUGAAGCAACUGAUAUGGAACUGCCAGAGUAGGAGUUGAAAAUCUUCCUAAACUGCUGGAGGAUACACCUCUGAUAGCUUGAGACAAAUAUCCUCUUGAUCAUUGUUUCACCAUAUUUGUCUUUGCUCAUGGAGAACCAUUUUGAUCCGUGGUUUAGCCUCCCAGGUGAUUGAACAAUACUGGUGAUCUGAGGCAGACCCUCUGUGACAGAUAACAGGAGUCCAUUCUCAAUUUUCUGUGCAAAUUGGGGAAGGCUGUUGAUAAUCGGUGGAUGCUAUAGUACCCAUGGAAAGACUCUAGUCUGAAGAUACCAGCCUCUCCCUCCCAAGAUCACCUCCCCUGACCAACCUUCUGCACUCCUGACAGAUACAAGGGAGCAGGCAAGUUGCACCCAACCUAACAGUAAAUUGCAGGGACAUUUCCAUUCUAAGGAAGGAAUUUUUGUGUGUGUUGCAACUCAGCUUCUGCUCUGGCAUUUUGCUGUGCAUUUAUAUUGCCAAUCAUGUUGGAGAGUCCAUGUGGUGAUUUCUGAAAAUGAGAUGUGAGAAAGAAGAGGAUAAUUUAAGUCUAGACCUACAGAUUGUGCUGAUAAAGUGACGAAGAACUACAAUCUUCUUAGUCAUU
rnacentral:lncRNA from 1 species